GGUUGCUAAGACUGGAUAGGAAACAAAAAGGCAUCUUUUUGUUUUUAAAAGACCUUCUUACGAAGGUAUGCUUAAAGAGGGGCUUGCGCCACAUUAGUUAGUUGGUAGAGUAAAAGCCUACCAAGACGAUGAUGUGUAGCUGGACUGAGAGGUUGAACAGCCACAUUGGGACUGAGACACGGCCCAAACUCCUACGGGAGGCAGCAGUAGGGAAUUUUCGGCAAUGGAGGAAACUCUGACCGAGCAACGCCGCGUGAACGAUGAAGUAUUUCGGUAUGUAAAGUUCUUUUAUUGAAGAAGAAAAAGUAGUGGAAAAACUAUAUUGACGUUAUUCAAUGAAUAAGCCCCGGCUAACUAUGUGCCAGCAGCCGCGGUAAGACAUAGGGGGCGAGCGUUAUCCGGAAUUAUUGGGCGUAAAGGGUGCGUAGGCUGUUAGAUAAGUCUAUAAUUUAAUUUCAGUGCUUAACGCUGUCUUGUUAUAGAAACUGUCUUGACUAGAGUGAGAUAGAGGCAAGCGGAAUUCCAUGUGUAGCGGUAAAAUGUGUAAAUAUAUGGAGGAACACCAGAAGCGUAGGCGGCUUGCUGGGUCUUUACUGACGCUGAGGCACGAAAGCGUGGGUAGCAAACAGGAUUAGAUACCCUGGUAGUCCACGCCGUAAACGAUGAGUACUAAGUGUCGGGGUAAAACUCGGUACUGAAGUUAACACAUUAAGUACUCCGCCUGAGUAGUACGUACGCAAGUAUGAAACUUAAAGGAAUUGACGGGACUCCGCACAAGCGGUGGAUCAUGUUGUUUAAUUCGAAGAUACACGAAAAAUCUUACCAGGUCUUGACAUACUCUGCAAAGCUAUAGAAAUAUAGUGGAGGUUAUCAGGGAUACAGGUGGUGCAUGGUUGUCGUCAGUUCGUGUCGUGAGAUGUUAGGUUAAGUCCUAAAACGAACGCAACCCUUGUCGUUAAUUGCCAGCACAUAAUGGUGGGGACUUUAACGAGACUGCCAAUUAAACAUUGGAGGAAGGUGAGGAUUACGUCAAAUCAUCAUGCCCCUUAUGAUCUGGGCUACAAACGUGAUACAAUGGCUGUGACAAAGAGUAGCUGAAACGCGAGUUUUUAGCCAAUCUCAAAAAAGCAGUCUCAGUUCGGAUUGAAGUCUGUAACUCGACUUCAUGAAGUUGGAAUCGCUAGUAAUCGCGAAUC
rnacentral:rRNA from 1 species